UGGAAGAGGAGAGCACAUGUAAAGUUCGUUUACGUCGGUUCUUUAUCUUGGAAAACAAAAGGAUCAGUGAGUUCAGAUUUUGAUGAAAGAAAAACGUUUGGGAAAACUGGAUGAGCUAUGUGUGGUCCAUGAAGCGGAUCUUGCACUAGUUACGGAAGGAUGGCAUUCUAAAGGCCAUAGAUGCGCACAAGUGUAGUACACAUUUUAUAAAAGCAACAUUUGAACAAAAAACACUCCAGAAACUUUAUUCCCAUUUCAAGACUAGGAGAUUUAUCCAGUCCAGAGCGAAACUCAAGUCAAGAAGAGUACCUUGAUCUUCUAUCACAGAAGACAUUUUUUGCCAACACUUCCAGGUACGCAGUACUGUACUGUAUAUCUAGUCCUAAUUAGUAAAUGUAAAAGACUACAUUCAAAUUUAAUUUAUCAUCAUCAUCUGGUACAUUGUUUUGUCUUGGGUAGAUAUUAUGUACGUUAAUUAUUGCCAUGAAUUUGUUAUAAAUUAUCAGUUUUGUCUAUCAAUCUCUUAACAUAGUGUCCAAAAAUCAAAAGCCACUUUUUGAGCUCAACAUGCCAAACCUGACUUUUGUUGCUUGC